CGCAAAGUGUUGGGAGAGAGAAGCCACUGCUCCUUGCAGAGCAACAGGGGAAAGUCACCUCCUGGGCAACCAGGAGGCAAGUCACUGGCGCUCAGGCUGCACCCUCUGAGACCAGAGGGGUGAAAUCUGAGCUUCCCAGGCGGCAAUCAGCCUGGGGCAGGAUUUGCAGUCUCCCUUUCAAGUUGCCCUGCUGAAGGGCUGGGUCUGUGUCCCUUCUCAGAGCCCCGAGGAUCUAGGAGGAGCCCCCUUGGCGCCACCCCUGGGGACAUGCAGGGAGGACACAUCAGUUUGCUCUAUCGCAAACUCAAGGGAUGGAGUCAGCUGAAAUCAUUAGAGCACAUGUGAUUGAAGGUGUGAGGAUGAGGGGAUGGCCUUAGAGGAGAAUUGAGCAGUUAUGUUACAGGCUGAAGUAUACUCCUUGGCAGUCCAACCUCUAGUGCCUCAGAAUGUGAAUCUCUGAUGAGAGGACUUUGAAGAGGUGUUUAAAUUCAAAAUGAGAUCACCAGGAUGGGCCCUAAUCCAACACAAAUGGUGUCCAGAAGAUCUCAAGACAUAAAGGACUGAGAAGAAAGACUACAUGAGGACACAGAGAAGGAGACCAUUGUGAAUCAAAGAGAGACACUUUGAACGAAUACCUUGAUCUUGAAUUUGCUUAAAACACUUGCCAACUCUGUGAUCUGGAACUGCUGUGAAAAAUAAAUUUCUACUAAUGCUUGACA